rnacentral:rRNA from 1 species
GACGAACGCUGGCGGCGUGCUUAACACAUGCAAGUCGAGCGGAGCGGCGAACGGGUGAGUAACGCGUGAGUAACUGCCCCCCUCUCUGGGAUAACAGUUGGAAACGGCUGCUAAUACCGGAUAGUGGGGGAUGAUUGGCGUCCUAUCAGCUUGUUGGUGGUGUAGUGGCCUACCAAGGCGACGACGGGUAGCCGGCCUGAGAAGGCGACCGGCCACAAUGGGCUGAGAUAGGGCGCAAACUCAUACGGGCGGCAGUAGUGGGAAAUAUUGCACAAAGAGGGAACCACUUAUGCAGCAGCGCCGCGUGCGGUAUGACGGCCUUCGGGUUGUAAACCGCUUUCAGCCAAGACGCGGUAGUGGCAGAGGAAGCACCGGCUAACUACGUGCCAGCAGCCGCGGUAAUUC